AUGCAAGAUUACUUCGGGGAGAAUCCAACAUAUCCACCGCACCUCUUCCGGAGAAGGUACCGAAUGUGCCGAUCUCUCUUUGUGAAAAUUGUUCAAGCUUGCGAGGCAAACUGUCGGUAUUUUACUCAAAGAAGAAAUGCCGCGGGCUCGAAGGGAUUUAGUGCAUAUCAAAAAAUCUCGGCAGCUAUGCGGGUGAUUGCAUAUGGCGUUUCGGCUGACUAUGCCGAUGAGUACCUUCGCAUUGGUGAAGAUACCACAAUUGAGUCAGUGCGUAGGUAG
rnacentral:rRNA from 1 species